rnacentral:rRNA from 1 species
ACGCUCGACACCUACGGGAGGCAGCAGUGGGGAAGUAUUGCACAAUGGGGGAAACCCGUACGAUGCAGCGACGCCGCGUGAGCGAAGAAGUAUCUCGGUAUGUAAAGCUCUAUCAGCAGGGAAGAAGAUGACGGUACCUGACUAAGAAGCACCGGCUAAAUACGUGCCAGCAGCCGUGGUAAUCUGAGCGGGCUGGCAAGGC